AUGGACGCUAGCCAAGUUCUUCUUGGGAGACCUUGGCAAUCUGGUGUGGAUACUACACACAAGGGCAAGGAAAAUUCUUACUCUUUCAUUUGGAACAAGAGAAAGAUCAUUAUUUUACCAAACAAAACUGAAGGUAAUACCUCUAAGGAGGAGGGGGAAACUAUGUUAACUAUCUCCCAUACCUCUCAUGAGUUUACGGAAGACUUGAAGGAGGCAGAUUUGUGUGCUGCACUUGUUGUAAAAGGAGAAGAGCACCUGACUGUUGAAAUUCCAGCAAAGGAGCAUGAUAUAUUGAAGGAGAAAGUGGAGGAAUUGCUACAAAAGGGGCACGUUCGAGAAAGUAUUAGCCCAUGUGCUGUAGCAGCCCUACUCGCGCCAAAGAAAGAUGGAUCUUGGCGCAUGUGUACGGACAGUAGAGCCAUUCACAAGAUCACCGUAAGCAAGGAUGAGGAUGAACACUUUGAUCACAUUCGAAAGGUGCUAGAAGUACUAAGGGAAAAUGAGCUCUACGUCAACUUGAAGAAAUGUGCUUUCCUGCAAACACAACUUCUUUUCCUAGGAUUCGCCAUAACAUGUGACGGUAUUCGUGUUGAUGAUUCUAAGGUUGAAGCAAUCCGAGAAUGGCCAACUCCGAAGACCAUUUCUGAGGUAAGAAGUUUUCAUGGCCUUGCAACUUUCUAUAGGCGAUUUGUGAAGAAUUUCAGCACUAUCAUGGCACCAAUUACCGAGUGUUUGAAGAAAGGAAAGUUCCAAUGGACAGAAGCAGCUGAAGCUAGUUUCAAUGAGAUUAAACAAAAACUAUGA
rnacentral:rRNA from 1 species